AUACGACUUUCGGCAACGGAUAUUUAGGCUCUCGCAUCGAUGAAGAACGUAGCAAAAUGCGAUACUUGGGGGGAAUUGCAGAAUCCCGUGAAUCAUCGAGUUUUUGAACGCAAGUUGCGCCCGAAGCCCUU
rnacentral:rRNA from 1 species